GGAGAGGUGGCCGAGCUGGCUUAAGGCACUCGCCUGCUAAGCGAGAGUGGGGGUUAUACUCCCACCGAGAGUUCGAAUCUCUCCCUCUCCGCAA
rnacentral:tRNA from 2 species